UACAGGGGUGGCGAGCGUUGUCCGGAAUUACUGGGUGUAAAGGGUGCGUAGGCGGAUCUUCAAGUCAGUGGUAAAAUCCUACAGCUUAACUGUAGACCCACCAUUGAUACUGCUGAUCUUGAGUGCAAGAAAGAAGAUUGGAAUUCCCAGUGUAGCGGUGAAAUGCGUAGAGAUUGGGAAGAACACCAGUAGCGAAGGCGGAUCUUUGGCUUGUAACUGACGCUGAGGCACGAAAGCGCGGGGAGCAAACAGGAUUAGAUACCCUGGUAGUCCGCGCCCUAAACGAUGAGGACUAGGUGUCGGGCCGCAAGGUUCGGCGCCGCAGCUAACGCAUUAAGUCCUCCACCUGGGGAAUACGGCCGCAAGGUUGAA
rnacentral:rRNA from 1 species